GUGCCAGCCGCCGCGGUAAUACGGAGGGUGCGAGCGUUAAUCGGAAUUACUGGGCGUAAAGCGCAUGCAGGUGGUUUGUUAAGUCAGAUGUGAAAUCCCCGGGCUCAACCUGGGAACUGCAUUUGAAACUGGCAAGCUUGAGUCUUGUAGAGGGGGGUAGAAUUCCAGGUGUAGCGGUGAAAUGCGUAGAGAUCUGGAGGAAUACCGGUGGCGAAGGCGGCCCCCUGGACAAAGACUGACGCUCAGGUGCGAAAGCGUGGGGAGCAAACAGGAUUAGAUACCCCAGUAGUCC
rnacentral:rRNA from 1 species